AAAAUAACAAUCUUCUCCCAAACUAUACUGUGUAUACAUAAAUUCACUAAUAAUCCAAAAUCUUUUUUAUGUACUAACAAAUUACACGGGCAACUUGCCCCCCAUUUACGUUUUAUUGAGAUAGUACCG